AUUGAACGCUGGCGGCAGGCUUAACACAUGCAAGUCGAGCGGAGUGAUGGUGCUUGCACUAUCACUUAGCGGCGGACGGGUGAGUAAUGCUUAGGAAUCUGCCUAUUAGUGGGGGACAACAUUCCGAAAGGGAUGCUAAUACCGCAUACGCCCUACGGGGGAAAGCAGGGGAUCUUCGGACCUUGCGCUAAUAGAUGAGCCUAAGUCGGAUUAGCUAGUUGGGGGGGUAAAGGCCUACCAAGGCGACGAUCUGUAGCGGGUCUGAGAGGAUGAUCCGCCACACUGGGACUGAGACACGGCCCAGACUCCUACGGGAGGCAGCAGUGGGGAAUAUUGGACAAUGGGCUGAAGCCUGAUCCAGCCAUGCCGCGUGUGUGAAGAAGGCCUUUUGGUUGUAAAGCACUUUAAGCGAGGAGGAGGCUACUAGUACUAAUACUACUGGAUAGUGGACGUUACUCGCAGAAUAAGCACCGGCUAACUCUGUGCCAGCCGCCGCGGUAAUAC
rnacentral:rRNA from 1 species